CGCACAUUGCGCCCACUGGUAUUCCGGUGGGCAUGCCUGUUCGAGCGUCAUUAUCCUCUCUCCAAACUCCUGUUUGGGCGUUGGGCCGAGUUGUGGCAACGCAACUGGUCUCAAAGACAAUGACGGCGUCCGUGGGACCCUCUUCGCAACGAGUCUUUCGAGGCACGCGGGGAGUUGCAAGGUCCCUCCGGGCCGGUCUAACCUUUUAUUUUUCUCAGGUUGACCUCGGAUCAGGUAGGAAUACCCGCUGAACUUAA
rnacentral:misc_RNA from 1 species